GGUUGCUUGGACUAUCUUGCAUCGGUGGAUAUGAAAAUAGUGGUAACCUACCCUACGAAACAGCUAUUUGCACAUAAGCUUAACAGUUCCCUGUCAGAUGCUGUGAAAGUCAGCAGGGAAGUGCGAUGUAGAAGAAACGACUGCCAGAAGCUUGCUAAAGAACCGCACAACAUGUGUGAGCAGCAGACAAAAUAUUCAUCAAACGAAUUUUUGCACCAAAGUUAUGAGAGCAGCACAGGCGUUGUUUUAGCGUAAUGCAGUGAUGGACGUGCUGCGCCAAUCAUGGAGUGCUUAGCAGUCGCCUUCUCGACCAGCCACAGUGAGUCAUUGGAGGCAGUGCUGCAGCGCCAACAAUCACUCAUUGGAAGAAAGGAAUGAGGUGGCCAUCAACACCCUGCUGCCAGUUCAACACUCCUCAGUCAAAACACAAGACGCCUGCUUGGCGGCAAAGUCAAUCCAGUUUUAGACAGAGUUUUGUACCGUAGACUUCGUGUGUGGUUUACUGCAAAUAAAUGUUUAUGCUGA